ACGAACGCUGGCGGCGUGCCUAAUACAUGCAAGUCGAACGCUUCUUUUUCCAUCGGAGCUUGCUCCACCGGAAAAAGAGGAGUGGCGAACGGGUGAGUAACACGUGGGUAACCUGCCCAUCAGAAGGGGAUAACACUUGGAAACAGGUGCUAAUACCGUAUAACAAUCGAAACCGCAUGGUUUUGAUUUGAAAGGCGCUUUCGGGUGUCGCUGAUGGAUGGACCCGCGGUGCAUUAGCUAGUUGGUGAGGUAACGGCUCACCAAGGCGACGAUGCAUAGCCGACCUGAGAGGGUGAUCGGCCACAUUGGGACUGAGACACGGCCCAAACUCCUACGGGAGGCAGCAGUAGGGAAUCUUCGGCAAUGGACGAAAGUCUGACCGAGCAACGCCGCGUGAGUGAAGAAGGUUUUCGGAUCGUAAAACUCUGUUGUUAGAGAAGAACAAGGAUGAGAGUAACUGUUCAUCCCUUGACGGUAUCUAACCAGAAAGCCACGGCUAACUACGUGCCAGCAGCCGCGGUAAUACGUAGGUGGCAAGCGUUGUCCGGAUUUAUUGGGCGUAAAGCGAGCGCAGGCGGUUUCUUAAGUCUGAUGUGAAAGCCCCCGGCUCAACCGGGGGGGGUCAUUGGAAACUGGGAGACUUGAGUGCAGAAGAGGAGAGUGGAAUUCCAUGUGUAGCGGUGAAAUGCGUAGAUAUAUGGAGGAACACCAGUGGCGAAGGCGGCUCUCUGGUCUGUAACUGACGCUGAGGCUCGAAAGCGUGGGGAGCAAACAGGAUUAGAUACCCUGGUAGUCCACGCCGUAAACGAUGAGUGCUAAGUGUUGGAGGGUUUCCGCCCUUCAGUGCUGCAGCUAACGCAUUAAGCACUCCGCCUGGGGAGUACGACCGCAAGGUUGAAACUCAAAGGAAUUGACGGGGGCCCGCACAAGCGGUGGAGCAUGUGGUUUAAUUCGAAGCAACGCGAAGAACCUUACCAGGUCUUGACAUCCUUUGACCACUCUAGAGAUAGAGCUUCCCCUUCGGGGGCAAAGUGACAGGUGGUGCAUGGUUGUCGUCAGCUCGUGUCGUGAGAUGUUGGGUUAAGUCCCGCAACGAGCGCAACCCUUAUUGUUAGUUGCCAUCAUUUAGUUGGGCACUCUAGCAAGACUGCCGGUGACAAACCGGAGGAAGGUGGGGAUGACGUCAAAUCAUCAUGCCCCUUAUGACCUGGGCUACACACGUGCUACAAUGGGAAGUACAACGAGUCGCAAAGUCGCGAGGCUAAGCUAAUCUCUUAAAGCUUCUCUCAGUUCGGAUUGUAGGCUGCAACUCGCCUACAUGAAGCCGGAAUCGCUAGUAAUCGCGGAUCAGCACGCCGCGGUGAAUACGUUCCCGGGCCUUGUACACACCGCCCGUCACACCACGAGAGUUUGUAACACCCGAAGUCGGUGAGGUAACCUUUUGGAGCCAGCCGCCUAAGGUGGGAUAGAUGAUUGGGGUG
rnacentral:rRNA from 1 species